GGGUAGCCGUUGCUGUGCUUUUAUGUUUUCGGGAGCAGGUCUGGUAUGGACUCUUGUUCCCGUGCAGCCUCUUGCAGCGUUGUCCUUGUGGGAGGGAGAGGGAUGGGAAGAACCCAUGGAAUGGAACCCGUGGAAUUACCUGGGUUUGAAUUAAGAAGGACUCAGCUGGGUUUGAAACUUAUGCUUCAACUAGCUAAGACAAACUAGUAAGGGACAGCUAUUUUCCGGUUUUUCUGGAGAAGUGCAAAGUCCUCUUUCUUUAAGACAAAUGAGAUAUUUGGAGCUGAGUCUGUGUUCUGGCACUGAGGAUCCUACUGCAGGUGAAGUCCCAUAGCAGGAGUCCCUGAAACAUCAAGGUUUGAUGAAGUAAAUUGCAAUGGUGAAGAGGCCCAUGUGGCAAGGAGCUGAGGGUGGCCUCUGAUCAACAGUCAGUGAUAAUCAAGUCCCUCAGAACAACACUCAAGGAACUGACUUCUGCCAAUAACCACCUGUGGACUCAAGUUCCUUCUCAAGUGACGAAGCUGGGUAAAGGAUCUCCUUUGUAAGCUGCUUGAAGAAGGUUUGCUGGAGCCGUGUGAAAGUGCUUACUGUCUAGAAGACAGAGCUAUUUUUAGCUUGAAGCCUUUGUUUAGGGAGCAACUUUUGAAGUCGAUGAUGAUGCCAGAUUUGGAAGAAUUUUGGAGGCCUGUGUUUGGGGAGCAGCGCAGAUGAGAAUCAGAUUGGAUCUGCAGACGGUGGGACGUUACAAAUAUGUAUUGAGCACACGUUAUAUAGAAGGACGACGAGACAGUGGAAUCCUGUGACAAAUCACUCCUUUUAAAGAGAAAUAUAAAUACAAUCUCGGCUUCCUCAUCUGUGAAGUGAUUGGACCAGUUCAUUACUCCCUGCAUAUGCAAUGAUUUCACAAUGACAAAACUAAAAAAGGCGAUUGAAAUUCUACUGAACAGAAAGACCUCCCUGCCGUAUCACCGACAGUCUGUCAGGGGUUGCCUCAGGGCCAGAAGUUGAGAAGCACUAACUCCAAAGAAGAGAGCCAGUGGAGAGAGUAACGAGCCUUCCAUUAAAGAAGAGCGUGGAGGAGAUAGACUGGAGCUGGUGUGCGCCCGUGAUCCCAGAGUUCUAGAAUCUCAUAAACUCACUCGCUCAUAAAACAUGGGUGAAUACUGGGAAAUGCAGUUUCUCCUUCUCUGUCAUGCUGAAUCAACCACCAAGGUGUGCCAGCUAACUACAGUCUGAAGCCUCCAACCAGACCUCUGCUUAUGGGCCUGGUUGUAUGGUCACAUGAAUCCAGGCAACUGAAUAUGGCUAUAAAGGCACAGACUUUACUCUUAAGGUCUCAGGAAGACCACCCAACAGCAAGGGAAACUGAAGGUGAAGUCUACAUAUGCAGGCUUUGAAGAACAUGAUGACACAUGGGGACCAGCCAGAAGAUAUAUGACGCUUGUUAAGCUGGAGCAGCUCAGAUGAUCUGUUUAGCUGUGGGUAGCUCCUCUGGAUUUAAGGGGCUUCCUUUUCAUGGUCUCAUCUUCUGCAGGAGGCAGCUUUUCCAGAAAUAAGCCUCUGAACGUGGGGCUGAGGCAAUGAUCACAGGGAUCUGGUGUCAGCCAUCAUUUUAUGAUGCUCCGUGAAUUCUUCAGAGGCUUCUCUUUACACUUUCUAAAGCUGCCAUAUUUCCCUAUGAGUUGGAAAAUAUUUUCUACCCAUUCUUGAUAGAAAUAUGUGUGAAAAGAGGAUAAAUAGGUUCUAACCCUGGUUUUAUUUGUAAAAUACAUGUGCUUUAGUUUGUUGAGCUUACAGUGUCUCUUUUGAAGGCCUUUCUCUUUUGCUUGGUCCUUGGCUAUACAGGGGGAUAGUUGAGGUCACCAAAUAAAUGACUUCCAGGUUAGAGAAUUAUUACGUCUCUGAAACUGCUAUUGAAAUGAUUUUUGUCAGCAUUUUUCUGGAAAAAUGCAUCAAGUUUUUAUGCUUUUAAGGGCAUCUUCUUUGUUCUUUAAAAGUAAAUAUUAUUUAACACUAUCCACAGCUUCAUUUUCCUGUUUAAUUUUUUAGGAUUUUUUUAACAAUCGAGGUUUGUGAUGCUGAUAUAGUUUUUUAAAUACUCUGAAAUGUAGCUCACUGGGGCAUGUAGAUUAAUUAUAUUUAUCUUAGUAAAGAACAUUGUUUAAAUUCUCUCUUCUUCCUUUCCUUUUUUCCUCAUUCCUUCUUCCAUUUCCCCUCUAUGGGCACGUAGGCUCAUUAGACUCAACUUCUUCCCUCCCUUCCUUCCUUCAUCCUGUAUUUAGUUAGCUCUUACUGUAGUCUUAGUGCUCCCCUCAGGAGUUUACCCUUCAGUAGAGAGGGCAAAAUGUUCACAAGUUUCAUAAUGAAAUACAAUAUGUGUUUAAAUGCUACAUGAGUUACAAAUUGUGUUACACCUUCAUGAAGGAGAGAUAAUUCCUGGUUGAGUGAUGUAACCGAGAUUAAUGUCUUGCAGACUGAGUUUCUAAAGAACACAGUUGGGAAAUAUCAGAAUGAGGAUGGACUAGGUUGGAGAGGUAGGGUGAGGGCAAAGCCUGGAGGGCCUUGAAGGUCAAACUAAGGACUGGAUACUGUCAGCACAUCUAUUCUUUGCCUAGAAUGAGCCUAAUAUUGUGUUGGAACACGCCUAGCAUUGGAACAGGAGCCAUGAUUAACUAGAUUUGAAUGGGGAAAGGGCAGAAUCUGGACUGAGGACUGGGCAGAGCAGUAGGUGCUAUCUCUUUUGACCAGUCAGCCCCUGCCUGCACCAUCCAACGGGGAAAGUGAGCUAUGAGAAGGCAGACGCAGUUGAUCAAGGGCCGUAUCAGCAGUGGGGACACAACAGUUACAGAGCGGGAGGCCAGAGCAGAGAUUCAGGUGAGUCCAGAUAAGCUCAGAAGCCAGGCAUAUUUUUAUGUCUUUUGGCUUUCUUUCCAUUUCUUUCCUCUAUGUCACUGCUAAUUUUGUUUCUUUCCUGCUCUUCCUUCUCUCAUCGUUUUCUCCACUCUUCUUGCUUUUUUAUUUUUCACGUAUUCUUUUGCUCUGUCCUCUUUCCUCUUCAGCUACCCUCUGCCCAAUAUGAAAGCCCUUUCUCCUCCUCGUCCUCAUCUUCCCUUUGACCAGCUCUAUCUCAAGUAUUUUUCUUUCUUUUCCUCAGUUCCUGGAGUGGGGAGACAUUUUCCACUGUUAGGUAGAUGUCAGCCUGCAGUUCUGGGGACCUUUCUGAGCUACCUUUCUAUCUCUCCUAAAUCCUGCUCUAAAAUUUCUAUUGACAGCCUCAGCCUCAUUCUUGACUUUAGUGGCCUCUAUUAGCUCUCAGUCUUGCUUAACAUCUGCGUUGUACUAAUAGUGAUAUGUUCUUGGACUGUGCCCACUGGUUUCUUUAGCUUUUAGAAAUUUUAAAUUGUUCUUUCUGUUCUCCACUUACAAUAAAUGUAGCUGGGGACCAUACCAGCUUGAUUAACUCCGAAGCAGUGGUUCUCUACUGGGUGAUUUUGUCUACGAGGGGACAUUUGGCCUUGUCCGGGGGCAUUUUUGGUUGUUGCAAUUGGGUAGAGGGGAGAGAUGCUGGCAUCUAAUAGUAGAAGUCAAGGAUUCUGUGAAACAUCCUACAAUGCACAGGACAGUCCCUUCCAAAAGAGAAUUAUCCAGCCCAACAUGUCAAGAUUACUGAGACUGAGAAACUCUGAUCCAAAGGUAUUUAUCUUGGAGCUAUGUCAAAUAUGUGAAUAAUAAUAGGACUAAUCAAAACCAAAUUUAAUUGCAAUCAAUUAGGGUAAACAAUGGGGGCAUCUUGAGAUGGCAAACAGUAAAUGUGCCUGUGUUAAUAACAACAAAAAUAAUUCUUUGUGCUCUACCCGUCUACUGAUUUUUACUUAUAAAAAUUAUGUUCAUUAGCUUUCCCCACCCGACCCAACAACCUGGUGAGUUUGGUGUGGGAGAUAUAUUUGGAAUGUAAGGAAACUGAAGCAUUGAGAACAAGAUGACCCUCCUUAGGACCCCAGCCAUAUACAGAUUUAUGGAUUUUCAUCCAAGGCAAAAAUGCAGGGCUGUUCGUACAGCUUAACUGGAGCUAUACUGGCAGAAAAUAAGGGCAGGAACCAAAGCUGCUGUCACAAAGAAAGGACUCUCCCAGUUCUCUAUUUGGUAUUUAAAAAUAGGAGAGAAAAUGGCAUAGCUUGAAUCUGAGAUAAUGCUUGCCACUUUGUGAAUGUUCUUACAGUGCAUUGCCUUCGAAACAAAUUGGCCCUCGUCUACAAAGGUUUCUUUUUUGUACUCUCACAAACUCAUUUUUAAUGGCUUGUAUGGCAUCAGUUGUGCCCCUGAGCUGUAAUGAAGCACUCUGCAAGUCACCACACGCGUCAGAAAUGAAUCUCAUGGAGGGGAAAAUGCUGGAGCAUUAAUAGGUUUUAAUCCAAGGUAAGCAAACCUAUUGGGCCACUACCAUGUGCUUUUUAAAUCUAAAUGUCAUGAAAUUCUCAGCAGUCUUCUCUUGCCUGCACAUCAGUUUUGGUCCAGAGACAGCCAAGUAGGGAUCAGAAGGGAAAAAUCUAAAAUGCACAUAUCUGCCCAGGCGCGCACCUUAAGGAGUUUACAAGUACCAUCCAGGCAAAACAAAGAAAUAAUUGAUGGAGCCAAGGGAUACUGGCUUCAUAGGGCAGGCAUCUGAAAAGCCUGUUAGUGCAGCAGACAUCUUACAAUAUAUUUGAUCCUAUCUUCAAUAUCUUGGGUGGAGAAGAGGUGUUGAAAUCUGAGAGUCUCUGUUAUGUAGCUUUUCCCCUUAGGUUUUUGUUUAAGUGGAUAAGCAAUGUUUGUAUAUUGCACUUUAUUGCACUGAUACAAGCCGAAUUACUCAGAUUUAAUUGCUAAGCAUCCAAUUUUAAACUUCAUUUUGCACAGUACCUCGGCAGCUUUUGAUAGAUGUUUAACCAUUCAGGAAACAACGAUCUCUGAAUAUUAAAGUAAAACAAAUUGGUUUCACACUGGUGAGACUUUCUGUGUAUGUGUGAAUCUAGAGGUAUAUUUUGAAUUUUCUUUCUCUAGCUGGGUGACUGUGAAAUAUAGAGAUUCACUCAGGGCCUCACCUUCAGGCCCUUUGGGGGCUGUGGCUGCUGGCCCCACAUCCCUCAUACUUCUCAUGCUUGAUGUGUUAAUUGCUAUAGUUUCUAUGGGGAUCUUCCUCUUCUCUCUAAUGGAAUGGAAAAUGUGUAGUUAGUCAUAAUACAACAGAUUCAAUUAAGCUAAAUUAUAGAAAUGUUGAGGACGUGCAAAAGAAAUUUUAAAAUUUAGCCAUGUUUUCAUGUCUGAAUUUAGACGUCUUUGUAAAGCUUACUAUGCACAAGGCAUGGAUUAUUGCUUUAUUUAAUCCUCAUCAAACUUUAUGGAGGUGUUGUUAUCAUACCUGUUUUAAAUGAGGAAACUGAGGCACUGGGCGGUUAUGUAAUUCGUCCAAGGUCACACAGCUUAUAGGAGGCAUAAGUAGAAUCUGAAUCCAGACUGCCUGUGGAGACGUUGUGUGCUCCUAACCAUUCUGCUGCACUCCUCAGAGCAAGUAACAUAAAUAUUUAAUAGCGAAUCGCAGUAAUUUUAGACCUCCUCUGUUGCAUUUUCUUAUUAUCUAAGGCUAUGAAUAAUUUGCAGCUACUCACAGAAAAAGACCAAUGGUUCAGAGAAAUUUUGGUCCCACUCAAGAGUACUACAUGACUCUAUGGAUGGCCACUUCUCCAGAUUUAACUGCCUUUAUAUAAUGAAACUGUUGGUCCUACCAAUAUUUUAUAGAAAGCAAAGCUGCAAAUGAGUCUUAGACCAUAGCCAGAAGUUCUGCUAUCCCGGGACAUAGUUGGAAGAGUCCGGAUAGAGAAUAAAAUGAAGUUCGGUGUGUCCUUCCUAAGACCUACCAUAUUGUAAACUUGGGAUGGUCACCAGUAGUCUCAAUGACUGAUUCCCAUCUUGUGGCUUUGGAAAGCAGAAGAAAUAGGAGCAGGAAGACAUGAUUCAGAAGGUUGAGGAUAAACCUUCUCACACUUUACUGGGCUUAUGAAUAUCCCAGAGAUGUUAAAAUGUAGAUUCUUUUUUGUAGGUCUGAGGCGAGUCCAGAAAUUCUGAAUUUCUGUUAAACAUCUAGAGAUUGCUGAUGCUACUGGUCCAUGAACUACAUUUUGAGGCAAGGAUCUAGAAUCAACCAGCAGCAUCACCAUCACCUGAAAGCUUGUUAGAAAGGAAGAUUCUGGGGCCGGCCCAGUGGCGCAGCGGUUAA